rnacentral:rRNA from 1 species
AUUGAACGCUGGCGGCAUGCCUUACACAUGCAAGUCGAACGGCAGCACGGACUUCGGUCUGGUGGCGAGUGGCGAACGGGUGAGUAAUGUAUCGGAACGUACCUUUCAGUGGGGGAUAACGUAGCGAAAGUUACGCUAAUACCGCAUAUUCUGUGAGCAGGAAAGCAGGGGAUCGAAAGACCUUGCGCUGAUUGAGCGGCCGAUAUCAGAUUAGCUAGUUGGUGGGGUAAAGGCCUACCAAGGCGACGAUCUGUAGCGGGUCUGAGAGGAUGAUCCGCCACAAUUGAACUGAGACACGGUCCAGACUCCUACGGGAGGCAGCAGUGGGGAAUUUUGGACAAUGGGGGCAACCCUGAUCCAGCCAUGCCGCGUGAGUGAAGAAGGCCUUCGGGUUGUAAAGCUCUUUCGGCCGGGAAGAAAUCGCAUAGGCUAAUACCCUGUGUGGAUGACGGUACCGGAAUAAGAAGCACCGGCUAACUACGUG